AGAGUUUGAUCCUGGCUCAGGAUGAACGCUAGCUACAGGCUUAACACAUGCAAGUCGAGGGGCAGCAUGUCGGUUGCUUGCAACCGAUGAUGGCGACCGGCGCACGGGUGAGUAACGCGUAUCCAACCUACCCUUGUCCAUCGGAUAACCCGUCGAAAGGCGGCCUAACACGAUAUGCGGUUCACCGCAGGCAUCUAACGUGAACGAAAUGUGAAGGAGAAGGAUGGGGAUGCGUCUGAUUAGCUUGUUGGCGGGGUAACGGCCCACCAAGGCGACGAUCAGUAGGGGUUCUGAGAGGAAGGUCCCCCACAUUGGAACUGAGACACGGUCCAAACUCCUACGGGAGGCAGCAGUGAGGAAUAUUGGUCAAUGGACGAGAGUCUGAACCAGCCAAGUAGCGUGCAGGAUGACGGCCCUAUGGGUUGUAAACUGCUUUUAUAAGGGAAUAAAGUGAGUCUCGUGAGACUUUUUGCAUGUACCUUAUGAAUAAGGACCGGCUAAUUCCGUGCCAGCAGCCGCGGUAAUACGGAAGGUCCGGGCGUUAUCCGGAUUUAUUGGGUUUAAAGGGAGCGUAGGCCGGAGAUUAAGCGUGUUGUGAAAUGUAGACGCUCAACGUCUGCACUGCAGCGCGAACUGGUUUCCUUGAGUACGCACAAAGUGGGCGGAAUUCGUGGUGUAGCGGUGAAAUGCUUAGAUAUCACGAAGAACUCCGAUUGCGAAGGCAGCUCACUGGAGCGCAACUGACGCUGAAGCUCGAAAGUGCGGGUAUCGAACAGGAUUAGAUACCCUGGUAGUCCGCACGGUAAACGAUGGAUGCCCGCUGUUGGUCUGAAUAGGUCAGCGGCCAAGCGAAAGCAUUAAGCAUCCCACCUGGGGAGUACGCCGGCAACGGUGAAACUCAAAGGAAUUGACGGGGGCCCGCACAAGCGGAGGAACAUGUGGUUUAA
rnacentral:rRNA from 1 species